rnacentral:rRNA from 1 species
UACGUAGGGGGCAAGCGUUGUCCGGAAUCAUUGGGCGUAAAGAGCGCGUAGGCGGCCCUGUAAGUCCGCUGUGAAAGUCAAGGGCUCAACCCUUGAAUGCCGGUGGAUACUGCAGGGCUAGAGUCCGGAAGAGGCGAGUGGAAUUCCUGGUGUAGCGGUGAAAUGCGCAGAUAUCAGGAGGAACACCGGUGGCGAAGGCAGGUCUCUGGGCUAGAACUGACGCUCAUGCACGAAAGCGUGGGGAGCAAACAGG